rnacentral:lncRNA from 1 species
AACAGGUCUUCCGCUUCGGCUCAGGAACUGUUGCCAUCUCUAUCAAUGAAUCAAGCUCUGGAAUGUACCUGAGAAAUGAUAUGCAUGCAGGGAUUAGUUUUUCUUUUUUUCUUUUUUUUUAUUGCAUUUCUUUUGAAAAAUAAACAUGCUAUGAUUCACAUGAUGCAGACACGACUGGCAAGCUGUGCAUCUCUGAACACAGGAUCGAAACUUCGGCUCGAACUCUGAUCACAAUCAUCUGAAACCCAAAGUCAACUGGUCAACUGCCAUCUGAACCCAAUCUGAGAAACUGAG